rnacentral:rRNA from 1 species
UACGAAGGGGGCUAGCGUUGCUCGGAAUCACUGGGCGUAAAGCGCACGUAGGCGGACUUUUAAGUCAGGGGUGAAAUCCUGGAGCUCAACUCCAGAACUGCCUUUGAUACUGGAAGUCUUGAGUUCGAGAGAGGUGAGUGGAACUGCGAGUGUAGAGGUGAAAUUCGUAGAUAUUCGCAAGAACACCAGUGGCGAAGGCGGUUCUCUGGGCCUUACCUGACGCUGAGGAGCGAAAGCGUGGGGAGCGAACAGG